GGAGCAGCUUCAGCCCAGACCCCCAGUGCAGGUGCUGCUCCAGCCCUGAAGCAUCCCACAACCAUGGCUGGCAGAUGCCAAGGGGAUGUGUGAGAUGGCCCAGCUCCAGGAUGAAACUCAACUUUAGGGAAGCUGGGGAGAGCCUCACAGCGCUGGACAAGCCAUCAGAUGGCACUGCCCCCAGGGACACACCCGGGGGCGUGGACAGGGAUAUGGAGGACCUAAGGCAAAGGGUGGCUUCAAACGUGACAGCAGAUCAGCCGCUGGGGAAAUACCAGAGGGGAUUUGACAGCUGGGCCAGGUGUUCCAGGACAGCACUUUCCAAAAGAUUUUCCAUCCAAACUUCCAGCAAGAAGUAGAUCUUCCAUCGUUAUCCAGAGCAUAUCUACGCAUUCAGAUGAAGAAAACAACACUGACAUGCAUUAUCUCCCAACACCAACCUCAACCCAGCCCUGGAGUGUGAGCAGAGCCAGCAGCAUUUCCAGCCCCGCCUCUGGAGGAAGGAGAGGAACCUGAGACUCUUGGGUGACCUGAGGCGUCUCUGGCAGCACCAGCAAAAGAGCCUGGCCCUGGCCGCCCAGCACAGGUGCUCAGUCCCUCCUGACUGCCACUGCUCCCUCAACACCAAAGCACAGGGUCGCGAGAUGUUGGGAGAGGGUCGGGGAUGCUGGGCUGGGAGAGGACCGGGGGCCUGUCAGAAGCCAUGACAUGAUGCACUCACCGCUCAGGAGGAAGCUACUGGCCUUUGAGUGAAAUCUAUAAGAAUGAACUCUGGAGAUGUAUCGUACAACAUGGAGUCUACAGUUAAAAACUGUAUUGUAUACUGGAAAAUUGCUAAGAUUAGAUCUUCCAUGUUCUCACUACAAAAGCAUAAGUAUGUGAGAUGACGGACGUGUGUGUCAGCUUGAUUUAAUCAUUUUGCAGUGUGGCAAAGCAUCGCACUGUAGGUGGUAAAUAUAUAUACAGUUUUGUCAAUUAUACCUUCAGGAAGCUGGGGUGGUUGGUGUGUGUGUGUGUGUCUGUGUGAUGUGAGGUCAGUGAGGUGCUGAACAUGGUGCAUUAAACAGCAUUUUCAUUCUUA
rnacentral:lncRNA from 10 species